rfam:Aedes aegypti strain Liverpool supercont1.152 genomic scaffold, whole genome shotgun sequence.
UGCCCAGCAACUCCUAUCCCUACCUCCUCGUGGUACUGGCCGGGGUACGAGUAACCUUGGGGAAGAUCGGGUAACCAACCCCCGGUGGGAACUUUGGUCGUAUGCUGACAGGGAAGA